rnacentral:rRNA from 1 species
GACGUAGGGCGCGAGCGUUGUCCGGAUUUAUUGGGCGUAAAGAGCUCGUAGGCGGCUCGUUGCGUCGGCUGUGAAAACCCGCAGCUCAACUGUGGGCUUGCAGCUGAUACGGGCGGGCUGGAGUUCGGUAGGGGAGACUGGAAUUCCUGGUGUAGCGGUGAAAUGCGCAGAUAUCAGGAGGAACACCGGUGGCGAAGGCGGCUUUCUGGACAGUUACCGACGCUGAGGCACGAAAGCUAGGGGAGCAAACAGG